UACGUAGGGUGCGAGCGUUGUCCGGAAUUAUUGGGCGUAAAGGGCUCGUAGGCGGUUUGUCGCGUCGGGAGUGAAAACCAGGUGCUUAACACCUGGCUUGCUUUCGAUACGGGCAGACUAGAGGUAUUCAGGGGAGAACGGAAUUCCUGGUGUAGCGGUGAAAUGCGCAGAUAUCAGGAGGAACACCGGUGGCGAAGGCGGUUCUCUGGGCCUUACCUGACGCUGGAGGAGCGAAAGCGUGGGGAGCGAACAGG
rnacentral:rRNA from 1 species